AAUUGCCAAGGUCGGAAAUGGUUCCCGACACACUCCGAAAAGAGUAUCUGAGAUGAUGGAUACACCGCCCAUCUGGUGAUU
rnacentral:ncRNA from 12 species